AACAAAAGGGAUACCAAAUAGGGCCUUAUUAAUAUAUGGUCCUAUUGAACUUUUCAAACUAAUGAUUAAUAGGCAAAGUAGUUCCAGUCUAUAACAUAAAAAGAACAUGAUUAUUUGAAUUGAGAUUAUGUAUAUGGCAGUGACCAGAACAACAUAUUGAUCAGGGUACUUAAUGAUUUAUUGACAUUUAUAAAAGGGCAAGAGUAGUACAAUUAAAAGUUAAUUCUUUAUAAAUUAGUAAAAAAGAACAAUAAUAGGGUAAAGAUCAUGCAAAUUUUUCAAACCAAUGUUGUAUUACGAAGAAGCAAUAUCUUGGUAGUAAUUGUUAACAUUUUUUUCUCUUUAUGCUAUUAUUAUUCACAAAGUGAAGAAUGAAAAGCAAAAACCUCCGCCAUUGGAUGGUCAUUAUGUGAACGAAAAUGGAGAUGACAAGCCUCCAACGUCAAUCAUAGUGGGUCCAUUGACGUUAGCCAAAUAUCUCUACUCACUCUCACCACCCGAGGAUUUGACACUGGCGACCAUGUUGGUGAGGUCUUUUCCUCUAUUUAAAAUCAAUGAUCCUAAAUUUAAGUUCACAGGAGAGAGAUUUGGUACUGUGAAAAGGGCUUUUGUUGUUACAGAAGAUGAUUUAGCAGCUCCUAAGAAAUUUCAAAUGUGGAUGGUUGAGAACAAUCCACCUGAUAUUACUGUCGAGAUUAGAGGGUCAGAUCAUAUGGCUAUGGUGUCUAAGCCUCUUGAACUUGCCGAUGGACUCCAACGUAUUGUUCAACAACUCUCUCCUACUUGACUUUUCUUCUUGACUACUUUACUAUUGGACCUUUCAUUGUCUAUCUGGUCACAUAUGGUUCACUAAAAAGUACAAUAUGGGAUGCAUUAUGCCACUGAAUUGAUUAUUUUAGUUGAUA